AUUGCCCUAGUAACGGCGAGUGAAGCGGCAACAGCUCAAAUUUGAAAUCUGGCGCAAGCCCGAGUUGUAAUUUGUAGAGGAUGCUUCUGGGUAGCGACCGGUCUAAGUUCCUUGGAACAGGACGUCAUAGAGGGUGAGAAUCCCGUAUGUGACCGGCCCGCACCCUUUACGUAGCUCCUUCGACGAGUCGAGUUGUUUGGGAAUGCAGCUCUAAAUGGGAGGUAAAUUUCUUCUAAAGCUAAAUACCGGCCAGAGACCGAUAGCGCACAAGUAGAGUGAUCGAAAGAUGAAAAGUACUUUGGAAAGAGAGUUAAAAAGCACGUGAAAUUGUUGAAAGGGAAGCGCCUGCAAUCAGACUUCGCGGCAGUGUUCCGCCGGCCUUCUGGCCGGUUCAUUCUCUGUCGCGAGGCCAUCAUCGUCUCGGCCCGCUGGAUAAGACCUUGGGAAUGUAGCUCACCUUCGGGGGAGUGUUAUAGCUCAUGGUGAUGCAGCGAGGCUGGGGCGAGGUCCGCGCUUCGGCAAGGAUGAUGGCGUAAUGGUUGUCGGCGGCCCGUCUUGAAACACGGACCAAGGAGUCUAACAUCUAUGCGAGUGUUCGGGUGUCAAACCCCUACGCGUAAUGAAAGUGAACGGAGGUGGGAACCGCAAGGUGCACCAUCGACCGAUCCUGAUGUCCUCGGAUGGAUUUGAGUAAGAGCAUAGCUGUUGGGACCCGAAAGAUGGUGAACUAUGCCUGAAUAGGGUGAAGCCAGAGGAAACUCUGGUGGAGGCUCGCAGCGGUUCUGACGUGCAAAUCGAUCGUCAAAUUUGGGUAUAGGGGCGAAAGACUAAUCGAACCAUCUAGUAGCUGGUUCCUGCCGAAG
rnacentral:rRNA from 1 species